CACGGUUCUGCCGGCCUGGGUGGGAUCGUCGGCCGUUCGCGGUCGGCGCGCACCACCGGCCCGUCUCACUCGCAUCGUCGGGGAGGCGGAGCAAGAGCGUACACGUUGGGACCCGAAAGAUGGUGAACUAUGCCUGAGUAGGACGAAGCCAGAGGAAACUCUGGUGGAGGUCCGCAGCGAUUCUGACGUGCAAAUCGAUCGUCAAACUUGGGUAUAGGGGCGAAAGACCAAUCGAAA
rnacentral:rRNA from 2 species